rnacentral:lncRNA from 1 species
UACGUUUGGUUGGCGGAAUAGACAGGAAUGAAAUAGAAUAGUUAUUAUGUGAGAAUAGAAUGAGAUGGGAAUAGAAUAGAAUAGUUAUUACUUAGUUUGGUAUGACAAAGGGAAUAGAACAGGAAUAAUUAUUAUGACUUAUUGUAGUGUUUGGUUGGUAACAAUAAUUUGGGAAUAAGAAAGGAAUAGAAAAUAAAAAGACAAAAACAUCCUUUAUUA